UACGUAGGAGGCAAGCGUUGUCCGGAAUCACUGGGCGUAAAGCGCGUGUAGGCGGAUCGCUAAGUCUGUGGUGAAAGCGCCUGGCUUAACCGGGCGAGGUCCAUGGAAACUAGCGGUCUGGAGGCCGGUAGAGGGGGGUGGAAUUCCGGGUGUAGUGGUGAAAUGCGUAGAGAUCCGGAGGAGCACCAGUGGCGAAGGCGGCCCCCUGGGCCGCGCCUGACGCUGAGACGCGAAAGCGCGGGGAGCGAACGGG
rnacentral:rRNA from 1 species